rnacentral:lncRNA from 1 species
GGUGCUCCGCAAGGUGCUCGUCUCCUACUGCUACGUCGCGGUGUGGAUCUUCCUCUCCUUCACCGUCAUCGUCUACAACAAGUACAUCCUCGACCCCAAGAUGUACAACUGGCCCUUCCCCAUCUCCCUCACCAUGGUGCACAUGGCCUUCUGCUCCUCCCUCGCCGUCGCGCUCGUCCGCGUCUUCCGCGUCGUCGACCUCCCCUCCUCGCCCGCCAUGACCACGCAGCUCUACACCAGCUCCGUCCUCCCCAUCGGCGCGCUCUACUCCCUCUCCCUCUGGUUCUCCAACUCCGCAUACAUCUACCUCUCCGUCUCCUUCAUCCAGAUGCUCAAGGCGCUCAUGCCCGUCGCCGUCUACUCCAUCGGGGUGCUCUUCAAGAAGGAGACCUUCCGCUCCUCCGCGAUGCUCAACAUGCUCUCCAUCUCCUUCGGCGUCGCCAUCGCCGCCUACGGCGAGGCCCGCUUCGACCUCCGCGGCGUCGCGCUCCAGCUCGCCGCUGUCGCCUUCGAGGCCACCAGGCUCGUCCUCAUCCAGA